UGCAACUCUGUAGGAGUUGAAGACCAGCAACUCAGUUCAGCUGGUGUUUCCUUACACAGUCCAGCAAAUGAUAAAGAUAACCUGUUGUACCAUCUGCUGGAAAGGUAUUACCUAGCAACAGAGAGUGUUUGUUUUCCAUUUCCUUCAGGCUUCCAAACUUUUUUCACCUGUCUCGGGUAUCGUUGCCUUCGUUACCAAUCAUUCUUGCAGUAUGUUGAGCGAGAGGUAUUUCAACUCACCCCAGAAUUUGUACGUAAAUUCUUUGCUGAACUUCCAGAUGAUGAAAUACAUUCUGAAAGGAAACAUGAUAUUUUAAUCCAGUUGCCACAGUCUGACGCUUUAGAGAUAAUAGAGGACUGGAAGCAUCCAUUUGCCCUGAGGUACCUAGCUCAGCAGUACGUUGAAGAAACACUCAAACCCGACAGCUGUUUGGAAUAUCCGUUUUAUUUAAACAGAGAAACUGCUAUUG